rnacentral:rRNA from 1 species
AUGGUGUUCUCGGAUUCUCCCUGCGGCAACUUCAUUGCCGGCAUUGGCACCAACGGACGGACCCUACUCUACAACGGCGCCGUGGUCUCUCGCGGCCCCGUCAUGCCCUCCGUUAAGCAAUUUGUCUUCCUCGUCCCCGUCAGCGAUCGCAUGUUCUUCGUCAUCUCCCCAUACCCCUCUUAUGACGUUCCCCCGGGACCCCGGUUCGAGGUUCUCCAGCAUCACCCUUGCCCCGACAACGGCGGCCGCUGGGCCUGGAGCGCCGUCCCUGAGCCGCCGGGCUUCGCCCGCUGCAAGCGGGCGGACGUCACGGCCUACUUCGUGUCUGACGUGUGCGUCUGGAUCUCCUUGCAACACCAAGGCACUUACUCCUACGACACGGUACGCCGCAGGUGGCGCGUGGAGGGCGCCUGGCAGCUGCCUAUCAAGCGCCGGGGCGUGCUGGUCUCGGACUUCCUGGGCACGGGCCGGCGGCUGCUCUUCGGCUUCCAUGCAUUAGAAGAUUUCAGAGGGAAACCCUUUUGCGCUGUCGACAUGGACAUCAGGCCGCCCGCGAUCGUCGCGACCUGGCCGGAGGCCUUUCCUGCCGAGCCGGCGUGGCGCGCCGGAUAUACAAUAUGCUCGCAUGUCCCCGAGGUGGGGUACUUUGGAGGCGGCAGGUUUUGCCUCUGGGUGACCAAUCACAACAACGACAAGACACAUCGCCGCAGUGUCGUCUGUUUCAUGGCAGUCGAGCUCUCCCCAGAGCUGCGGCUACUCGAGCGCAAAUUCACCUGCUACCUGCUACCCCUUAGCUCACGCCCUUCUCCUGCUGAUGUAAUAAUGUAG